AUAUUUUGUUGUUUGAAAACGAAAAUGAAAAACAAAACAGCAACAACAACAACAACAACAACAAAAAUGGUCAAGAUAAUCAUAUAUCUGAAUCAUUCGGACAUAAACAACGACUACGACGAUGAAAAAAAAACUAGUUGGACAACAAGCAAGAAAAAGUUCCAGAAACAUGUUCAAGACCUGGACAACAACAACAACAACAACAACAAAAACACCACGCGGACAGGCAAAAAUCGUAUCGUAUUAAAAAAAAGAUCAACUGUUGCUGUUGCUGCUGCUGCUAAAUGUUUCGUUGUUUUUGUUUCAUUUUGGGAAAAAAGUGUGUAUUUAAUUUCCGAUCUACUAAAAUGAAUGAAUGAAUGAAUAGACAACAGCAAAAAAAAAAAAAUCUGCUGUUGACCAUCACCGGUCAGUAUUUUUGUUUUGUUUGUUCAUGUCUUUUGGAUUAGAUAACCUGCUGCUGCUAUUGCUAAAUGAACAUUGGUCAGUGGUGGUCAUAUCGUAUUCAUUCAGAGUCAUUUUCUCUUCAAUAACAACACUGAUGCUUAAAUCAUCAUCUGGAGCAACAUAUAGAUGAAACAAGUUGUUCCAUUUGGAUCUUGUUUUUUUUUGUUUUCGUUGCUGAUGAUGAUGAUUAUUGAUCAAU